rnacentral:lncRNA from 1 species
GGAUGAAAAAUUUUGUCCUGCAUUUUUUUUAGCUGUAAUCUCUGUCCUGCCUUUUUAUUUUUCACUCUGUUCGGUCCUGCCUUUUUUUUUUAGUUUAUCCAGACUUUUUUUUACCUAAAUUGUCGUCCUGACUUUUUUUUUUGCAAGUGUCUAAUGCUGCCUUUUUUUUUUUACCUAAAACUCCUGUCCUGCCUAUUUUUUU